CAUGAUUAGUGUCAAAGUAUGUUACGCGUUGUUUCUUUGAGAGAGCCGACUCUCAAACAUUUUCAUUACACUACCAAUCACCCACACGCCUUUCCCUCUCUAUCGCCUUCUGCUCUGGUUCUUCUAACGGUUUUUUUUUGGAUAUAUUUCACUGGGCUUUUAAUUGUCAGGCUAAAGGUUUUAGGCAGAUUAAUAGUCCUUUCUUUCAAGUUUUAGGCAGAUUUAUUUUUGAGGGUUGCGUGGCUUCGGCUAUGGGGUACAAAAGUUUUGUCGUCCUUAUAUGGGGUAGUUGCAUCUAACACCAUCAAUAUUCCAAUGUCACAACUCAUAACGAGCUCUCUUACAAUGGAAGAUCAAAGUUCGGCAUCGCUCAACUCAGGGAUUGUAGUUAAGGUAAUAAGUGUCAAGGCUUUGACAAGUUGGAAUAUGCGAUUUUAGACAUACAUCACUUCCAAACCACUUUUAAAAGGUUUCUAAGGGACUGUUUGGAACCUCUGUUAUAGCUUUUUGCUGUUUUAGCUGCUGUUUGAGGGGUUUUUUGUGCAGAGUUUCUUGGUUGUUUCGAGGUCAUUUUGCAGCUGGUUUGACAUUGUAUUGUGCAAAUUUGAAGACUGUUUUGAAGCCAAUUUUGCGUAUGUUUUCUGCAGAUUCGGGGUUGCUGUUGUAUUCACUGCUCAUAAGUCGCCAAGUACAGAGGUCAAAACUGGUCAAAGCAUGCACCCAGGUUCACCCACCAACAUGGUUUACUGGGGAUUUGGAUGGUUGGCUUCAGCCUCUGCAAUUUUAUUGCUUGCAACUGAAUGUUAUAGUCUCUCCAAUCUAACAUAGUUACAUGGCUAUUAAAGGUGAAGACUUCGGAUUCAACUAGCAGUGACAAACAAGCACAAUAUCCAAAAUCAUCGAAAAACAACCACGAGAAUUACAAUGGAUCAACAAUAGAACAUCAGUUUCACGUAUGAGAUUCGUAAAAGGAAGCGGAAAAGCACUUAAUAGCGCCUUAUUUGUAUGAUGAAACAAGUGAUCUUUGUGAUUUACAGUAAAGCAAAGUGUAUGACAGUGAUAAUUCUGUAGGCAUUUAUUGAGAACAAAUUCCUUUGUAUGUGUACCUAUUUGAUCUGUUCCCCAACUUCACCAAUUGAUUCAUGAAUGGUGCAAAAUUCUUUCCUUCA